UACGGGGGGAGCAAGCGUUGUUCGGAUUUACUGGGCGUAAAGGGCGCGUAGGCGGCCACCGCAGGUCGGUUGUGAAAUCUCCGGGCUUAACCCGGAAAGGUCAAUCGAUACUGCGGGGCUAGAGUGCAGAAGGGGCAACUGGAAUUCUCGGUGUAGCGGUGAAAUGCGUAGAUAUCGAGAGGAACACCUGCGGCGAAGGCGGGUUGCUGGGCUGACACUGACGCUGAAGCGCGAAAGCUAGGGGAGCGAACGGG
rnacentral:rRNA from 1 species